GCGGCAGACCGAGGCGAUCGCGUUAGUCUUUGGACUACCGAGGAAAGUCCGGGCUCCUGCGGGCAAACGCAGCGGCUAACGGCCGUCCGCCGACAGCAAUGCUGGAAGGCGAGGAAUAGUGCCACAGAGACAAUGUAUAGAGACGCAAGUCUGCUAUAGUGAAAAGAGGUAAACUCUGCGCGGAGCAAGAGCAAAUAGGGAUGAGAGCGCCCGCCUCGUCACCAAUCCCGGGUUGCUUGCUUGAGCCUGACGGCAACGCCAGGCCUAGAUAAAUGAUCGUCUGCAAAACAGAACCCGGCUUACCAGUUUGCCGUAUUG
rnacentral:RNase_P_RNA from 1 species